UGGCGUCGGCGGCCUGGCGGAAGGCACCGCCGAUGGCGCCGGCGGCGUUGGCCAGCACGCGGCGCGAGAUGCGGUUCAGGCCGGCCACGUCGG
rnacentral:tRNA from 1 species